CAUCUUGUGUAGGGUUGCAGUGGAGAAGUAAAAAUGUAGCUAUGAAUACAGAGAAAUCAGAGAUGUUUUCAGGUUCCUUCUUCCUAACAGUAAUGUGCUACCCGGAGAUGUUCCUGAGGUAGACCAGUCCAGGCAAAUGAAACUACCUCGAUUCCCAACACAUGCCAAGAAGCCUCUGUCCCUCACAAGUUGUAGACGUUUGGAGCGAGGAAACUAAAUCCACUGACCAGAAAGCUCUCUUUUUCAGAACGAAAAAUACAGACCUACCUCAGAGAGAAAGGGUGCAGGUUCUGGCCCCAGACCCUCUCACUAAAGCAAGCCGAAUGUUUUGGCUUCCCAGCGCAUAUAAAAGUUGUGUUUACACCAUACAAGUCUAUGAAAUGGGCGAUGGCAUUGUAAAACAAUUCGUUUAAAAAUACUUUAUUACUAAAAAAAUGCUAAUCAUCAUCUGAGCUUUCAGUGAGCUGUGAUAACUGAUCACAGAUCAUCAUAACGAAUAGAAUGAUAAUGAAAAAGUUUGAAAUCCAGCGAGAAUUACCAAAAUGACAAGAGACACGUGAAGUGUGUCUGAAGCAAAUGCUGUUGGAAGAAUGGCACCAACAGACUGGGUCGAUGCAGGGUGGCUGCAGACCUCCAGUCUGUAAAAAAACACGGUUUCAGCGAAGUGCAAUGAAACGAGGUAGGCCUGGGUCCCAAAAGGUACCUUAGCAGCAAGUGCCAGUGAAGUGUUUUGUCUUUAGUAACCUGGUAGUGAAGACGCGCCCGCUCUGCUCCCUUGGGAGAGCUGGCUUCUGGCAUUGCUGGACUGCAGAGGGGGACUUCCUAACGAACUAUUUCUUUUUACUGUCUUAAAAAUCAAAUAAUAGAGCCACUGGAGAAGGCAACUUGACAAAGCUCAGACACCGUAAAUGUGACAAAAUGAGUUCCGUUCAGCCACGCUCACCGCAGCUCAUGCUCUCUGCGAUGCUUUGUUCACGGUGCACUGAUGGGCUGGGAGGGCCAGCGAGCCAGGAGUGGAUGCGGGGCCUCCUGCGUGUUAGGGUGUCAGGGUGUAGACCCAAGCUAAUGAUGCAUUUGGCUCUGACUUGGUCGUGGCAAAGAAAGGUGUAUGGGGAGCCAGGCAGUUCCCCAAGAAAAGUGAAGGGUAUUCAUAAACCCUCAAAUACAGCCACACUACUGAAGAUUUUCUGACAAGUGCCAGAGGGUGUUUACCUGCCUUGAGAAAGACAGGAAUCCUCCUGUGGCUAAAUCUUGGCACCAGAGGAUUUUUCUAGUAGCAUUGGAGCUGCAAAAUUUUAUCUGAAAUUUCCUAUGGGACCUUAAGAAUGUAUACUGCACUAAUUGGAAUGGUUCUUCCAGGAGUCUUGAAAGAAGGUAAGGUUUUCAGCAGGAUACAGAGAAGAGCUACAGAGACCUCCUGCAUUUAGGGUGUCAUCUGUUCUUGCAUCAGCGCACAGGGCAAGAGAGCCUCACUUCUCGGAAUGGGCAUUUCCUAACAAGUUAUAUUUGGAUAAAACGGUGUUUGGUCGAUUUGUUCCCAAAAUGUAUUUUAAUAGGUUUAGAUGGCUUUUGUUGCCUUUCUUACCGCUAUAUCCUAUACUGUCGGGAUUCGGUUAUGCUGUCCAGAAUAUAUGCUGGAAGGAAGAAAGGGAGGGAGAGGGGGGAAGAAGGAAGCAGAGAAAAAAAUAAUCUGGGGGUAGGGGAAAGGAAGCUCAAAAAUGUUUUAUUCUAAAAAUGAUAUUGUGGGGUACAGAUUUAACAAGAAAGUGCCAAUAAUAUAUGUUUAUUUAAUUCUCAAAAAUAGAUUACAACUGCAAGAGGAGAAAAUAGUGAAAAAUGUGUAUCUAUCUUUAAUAUCUUUGAAAUAUCAAAUAGACCUUCAUAAUUUAUAUAUACCUAUAUUUUCAGAAAUGUUUCAUAAUAAACUCCUAAAUCAUGCCUCAUUCUUUUUGAACAUGCAAAAUAUUCAGAAUCCCAUGGGGGGCAGGGGGGACUAUGCCUUUAUUUUUAAGAUUCUGAGGACUGAGAAUAAAAAAGUGUUUUCCCAGCUUGGCUGGGACUAUUCUAAGGGGAAUGUGAUCAGGGAGAAAAACUGCUCCCCCAGCAGACAGAACUCUGUGCUCCUUUCCAGAAUCCUUACUACUCUUCUAAUGAUGUGCUGCAUAAUAUGACUCUCCUUUUCAUGCAUCUUCCCUGCCAGACUGUGAAAUCCUUGGGAACAGUAACGCCUAGCUGGUCCACCACCAUUCUCCCUGCACAGAAAGCAUUGAUGAGCUGAUGGUAGACGUUGGAUAGAUGCAUGGUGCCUAAGUGGGUGAUGACGUCUAGUGGGGCAAAUGGCUGACCUACAAAUGACACACUGAUCUAGGACCGUGACGAGCACACCAGGAUUUGCCGUGAGCUGCCGAGGGUGCUAGCCCUGCCCCCUUGCAAAUGUGUGGUCACCAGUCUUCAAUAUAGGACUUAAAGAUCCAGCGUAUAGCCUAAAGUGAACCCCAUUAGUGCUUCCCAAACUUCUCCCCAGAACUCACCCCAACACUAAUGGGAAUAAAGUUGUAUGCCCUGGGACUGGGGCCUUCAGGGGCUCAUUUUAACUUUGUACUUUUAUGAAAAUUUGACAUUCUCCCUAAGAUAUCCAUUUUUUAUCUUCACAUGCAAUUAUUUUCCCAGACCUUCAAGUUGUGCAUUGUUAACCAGACUCGGGCUUAUAGGAUUCCUGGUAUACCUGUGCAUGACCCAGGGAGCACCUGGGCCCUGCUUGAGACCUGCAGCAGGAAGAUAUUGUCCAUAAAAUGUUACUAUUAACAUAAAAACUAUGUAUUUGGGAGAGGUAACAUUAACCCCCACUAACAUGUAUUCUCUUAUCUGAUUCCCUUUUCUCUCCCAGUAAAUAACAGCCCCCUAAUUGAGAACGGGACAGAAGACAAGAGGGUUUGAUAGUGGUAAGAGGAAAACCAUCCAGAGCCACCGUGAAGUAAAAGUCUGGUCAAGUCAGCCUGCUGGUCCAAGAUGGCAGCAAAUGGGAGUAAACAGGAUGGAGACAUUGGACAAGGGGGAAGAAACCAGAACUAGGAUGAGAAGAGUCCUUUGCCAAGGCUGUUCAAGACUCCUCCCGAGGAAUGAGCCCUGGAAGACGCAGGGGAAGUGGAGCCUCCCGAGAUCACUCAGGAACCCAAACCACCCGUAAUGGAGCCGGAAGGUCUGUCAAUUCCCAGGGAACAGUGAGGAAAUGAAAACGUUCGCCAGCUGCUACAUUCGACAUAAAACUCCGGGCCAUACUCCUGUGCUCAGCCGAUCACUCUGUCCAUCAGUUGUGGAUACGCCAAGCACCACACUCUGUGCUGGGUUGUGAAAUGUAAGUGAGACGAUUCUUAUGGGGUGCUCACACCUAUGGGGGCAUAGUGCCGUUAUCUCUCUUUUACAGAGAAGGAACAGAUUUUAGGGAGAUUUGGCUUUGGGUGACUCGGGAGAUGGCGAUGGCAUUCACAGACAUAGCAGACCCAGGAGGAAAGAUGGAAGAUACGCAGGAGACAAUGGAUCCAGGGUAGACUCAUGGGACGUAAGGCACCUGCAGGCAUCCACCAGAGGCUGUCCCGGCCGACUGCCUGCCCUGGUAUGAUGGCGAAGUGUGGAUUUCAAGUCUGCUCCGAUUUUCCGUUCAAAUCAUAAUUCUACCACUUACUAGCUGCGUGACUCUGGGCAAGUUACUUCACAUCUCCAAGACUUUCAGCCGCAUUUUCCUCAUGAGUAAAAAUGGGCUCUUGUGAAAGCUAGAAAUACAGUAAUGUGCAUACGGCUCCGAACGGAGGGCUUGGUACAUGGUAGAUGACGGAUCUGUGUGGAGACAACUUCCCUUUCAUCUGCAGUCUAUCUUUCACAUGGUGGAGAGUAAUAUAAGAUCACAGCUUUUAUUGUGUUGUGCUCUCAAAAAAUGUGAUGGUUCCUACUGACCCUCACUAGUGGAAGAAGACACAUUUGCAAGCCCUGCCCAGCCUACACCCUUCUUUAAAUAAUCCCACACUACCCCCUAUAUUGAAGGUCACCUGUUUACCAUGUGACCCUCCCCUCCUCCAGCAAGAAUGGCUUGAUGAUGCCAGAGGCAGAUGCCUGACCAGAAGAAACCCAUCCACUGACUGGCCACUUGCCAAUGGAACAGUUGCCUUCGAGUUGGCUGUGGUGACGGACAGUUGACCUACAGGUUAGGUUGGCCCUCUCGGGGAGCCAGAGGCCACAGUCUGCAGAGGGAGCCAGUGGCUAAAGCUCCUGGGCCACUAGAGAGAGAAUGACUAGGAGUAGCUUCUUUCCUUGCUCCCGUACCUGGAAGCCCCCUUCCUGAGCGCCAUCUCUGUGAGGUCCCUCAAACUUGUGCCGUGCGCCAUCUUGUCUCUCAAGCUCAAUCAAGGGAGUCUGGGCCCCUGCAGUCCAGGUCCACUGUUUUGCCAGCCCCAUCUCUCCCUUUGCCCCUGUACAACCCCUACCUUUAACUCCUGGCUACCCUGAAUGGCCUAUGAUUCCCAAGCAUGCUCUGUCCUUCUCCAGCCUUUUCCCCUGGGCUGGAAUGUUCUUUUGCCUUCUCCCCUCAUCUUAGCAGCCUCUCCAUCCUUUGAGGCCCAACACAAACACCCCCCUCCUGAAGCCUUCUCUGGUGCCCCCGUCACACACGACAGCUCCGUCCUAGGAACUCCCUGCACUUGACCUCUAGUGUCUCUAUGGCAUUCAAGCACACUUCUCCCCGAGUUUCCCUCCUUGCCUCUGUGCUCACGGAGGGUAGAAACUUGGCACAUGUUAGGCACCAGGAUGGGACACUGAAUUUAAUCCAAGGGUUGGAAUCCUAAAACAAAUCUGAGUUUUUUCAAUCAAGAGUACCAUGCCAGUGUAAGACAUUGUUCCUUAAAAUGGAAAUGCACUUAGGGAAUGCUUCAGAUUAAAGGGAUGAAGAUCAAAGGGCACAUUCUUGGCCAGGAGUUCUGAGUCUUAGGGACCCAAAUAAAUUGUAGACAUUUUAUUUCCUGAAUUGAUUGGAACCAUAACACUGGAUUGGGUGCCGUAAUAUAAAACUUUCUGAAACUUCUAGCUUGGCAGGAAGUCUGUCGCCUCUUUACUAUAAGUGUUGGGACCGCUUGUGUCUAAAACUCGAGCGCCCACGCCAACCGUUGCAACUGGCUAGUAAAUCUGGAAGCCUGACGGAGAGGAAGCUUCCCCUGCUGACUGGGAAGCUUCAGAUCCUGCCCUUAGCUGGAGUCCCAGGCACACCCAGCUUUGGCAGAGGGUGUGUCUGCAUCGCAGGGGGACACAUGUCCGCCAAGGUUCAAGAUCCUGUGGACCCAUGUUGAGAAUAGAAAGCAGCUGCUCCUGCAGGCAGCUCAAAAUAAUAGCUGCAUUUUGCAAACGAGUGAGAAUUUCCCCAUGGCAAUCUUUCCUACAGCUGUGGGCCCGGCAGCUCCUCCUGGGCCCUCAGCCUGCCUCAGCCCCGGGCUUGCUCUCGGCUACCCUCUCAGCUCCAGGCUUCUCCCCGCCUGACCUGCCCACCCCAGGCCUCCCUCUGUACCUGGGGCCUGGGUUUUGGUUCUGGGUUAUGGGGUGAGCCCAGCCCUUGCCCCUGAGCCAAUGGAGGGAGGUUCCCAACACCUGAAGCAAAAUCUACUUUUCCACGCUGACCUGUGACCCUUGCUAAGCUUUCUGCACGAAGCCCAACAUGGUAACUUAAAACCACACUUCCCAAACCUGCCUGUGCGUGCCCCCUAAGAGAAUCCUUUAAAAUGCACAUUUCUGGGCCCCUCCCCAGACUUGCCAAAUCAGGCUUUCUCAGGCAGGAGGCCCAGGAAUGUGUCCCUGAGCGUGUCUGUCCUUUUCUCCUCUCACCUGCCCCACCCCCACCCCCAGCAGAUGAUUCAUGAAAUGCUUCUCUGGGCUCCUGUUAAGUCCCACUUGCCUCAGCUCUGGUCUGGGCAGCCCCGGCAACCUUGUCGUGGUCUGCCCCUGCUGGCAAGGAGGAACACCAAAGGCUGGUGACCAGAGUGCCCCGGGGUGCAGUUGUGGGCGCUUACUUCCGGGCAGGGCAGCGGGCAAUGCCAUCCGUGGGGCCAUGGGCUUUUAGAGCAGCCAACCAGACCAGGCCAGCUGGGCCUGGCCUGACUCGACCCCGCAGAAAGCACGUCCCUGCUGCAACAAUGCUGAGCGGCCUGUGGUCAGUGCCCUGGGAGCAGUCAUGAAGGUGGCCUGAGGUUUGGGAAGCAGGAACACUGGAGUCCCAGCACCCUGGGGUAAGCUGCCAGCUCACAUCUCUUCUCCCACUGGAUUUGGGACCACAAGGCAGAGCCUCAGCAUGGACCUCAAUUCCAGCACUUGAAGGCGUCACCGCCCUACUGGCUUUGACGAACUUGACCUCCAGCACAGAGUCCCAGAAGAUCACAAACCUAUAGGGCACAAAGGGCUGUCUUUCAGGGGGAAACCCUGCUUUUUUGGAUGAAACGGAUGAAAAACAAACAAAACACACUGAAAACUCCCUACCUUGUCCCUCGCAUGAGAAUAUCUCCAUGUAGAACGGCCUGGACUGGCCAUAUAUAAGGGAUGCCCUACCUCACUCUCCUGAUGCCCACUUUUGAUGAAUGUUAACUAUUUUAAGUGCCUCCCCUGACCCUCCAGAGAUUCAAAUAUGCCACCCCACCCGCCACAGAGGCUGCAAGCAGGAUGAGAUGGAGAAGCACAGCUGGGUUAGAGGGGGUUCCUGCUGUUAACAAGGACUUUCUCCAGAAGCUGUGUGACGCUAGAGUUUCCAAUCCCCAUUUGGGUUUCUUAAAACUGAAAACCCUUUGGGCAAAGUUGCCCUCUACCUCCCACUCACUGGGGAAAUCCUGUAGUUUGUCUUAGGCCCAGGCUAGUCAAGCUCUCACCCUGGCUGGCUACCUCCUUGUGAGCUCCCUGCUGAUUCAGGGAGCAGAGGGAACAGGGUCUGAAACUUUAGUUAAAUGAGGAUUGCAGGACUCUUCUGAUCCUGGGGUGAGAACCAGGGGUCUAUACCUACAAUUUUUCUUUUUGACGGCAUAAAUUCAUAUGUUGAAGCCCUAACCCCCAGGACC